AGCGAACGCUGGCGGCAGGCCUAACACAUGCAAGUCGAACGGACCUUUCGGGGUUAGUGGCGGACGGGUGAGUAACACGUGGGAACGUGCCUUUAGGUUCGGAAUAGCUCCUGGAAACGGGUGGUAAUGCCGAAUGUGCCCUUAGGGGGAAAGAUUUAUCGCCUUAGAGCGGCCCGCGUCUGAUUAGCUAGUUGGUGGGGUAAUGGCCCACCAAGGCUACGAUCAGUAGCUGGUCUGAGAGGAUGACCAGCCACAUUGGGACUGAGACACGGCCCAAACUCCUACGGGAGGCAGCAGUGGGGAAUCUUGCGCAAUGGGCGAAAGCCUGACGCAGCCAUGCCGCGUGGAUGAUGAAGGUCUUAGGAUUGUAAAAUCCUUUCACCGGUGAAGAUAAUGACUGUAGCCGGAGAAGAAGCCCCGGCUAACUUCGUGCCAGCCGCCGCGGUAA
rnacentral:rRNA from 1 species